rnacentral:rRNA from 1 species
GACGAACGCUGGCGGCGUGCUUAACACAUGCAAGUCGAACGGAAAGGCCCUGCUUUUGUGGGGUGCUCGAGUGGCGAACGGGUGAGUAACACGUGAGUAACCUGCCCUUGACUUUGGGAUAACUUCAGGAAACUGGGGCUAAUACCGGAUAGGAGCUCCUGCUGCAUGGUGGGGGUUGGAAAGUUUCGGCGGUUGGGGAUGGACUCGCGGCUUAUCAGCUUGUUGGUGGGGUAGUGGCUUACCAAGGCUUUGACGGGUAGCCGGCCUGAGAGGGUGACCGGCCACAUUGGGACUGAGGUACGGCCCAGACUCCUACGGGAGGCAGCAGCGGGGAAUAUUGCACAAUGGGCGGAAGCCUGAUGCAGCAACGCCGCGUGCGGGAUGACGGCCUUCGGGUUGUAAACCGCUUUCGCCUGUGACGAAGCGUGAGUGACGGUAAUGGGUAAAGAAGCACCGGCUAACUACGUG